rnacentral:rRNA from 1 species
UGUAGCAAGGUUAACCGAAUAGGGGAGCCGGAGGGAAACCGAGUCUUAAUUGGGCGUUAAGUUGCAGGGUAUAGACCCGAAACCCGGUGAUCUAGCCAUGGGCAGGUUGAAGGUUGGGUAACACUAACUGGAGGACCGAACCGACUAAUGUUGAAAAAUUAGCGGAUGACCUGUGGCUGGGGGUGAAAGGCCAAUCAAACCGGGAGAUAGCUGGUUCUCCCCGAAAGCUAUUUAGGUAGCGCCUCGUGAAUUCAUCUCCGGGGGUAGAGCACUGUUUCGGCUAGGGGGCCAUCCCGGCUUACCAACCCGAUGCAAACUGCGAAUACCGGAGAAUGUUAUCACGGGAGACACACGGCGGGUGCUAACGUCCGUCGUGAAGAGGGAAACAACCCAGACCGCCAGCUAAGGUCCCAAAGUCAUGGUUAAGUGGGAAACGAUGUGGGAAGGCCCAGACAGCCAGGAUGUUGGCUUAGAAGCAGCCAUCAUUUAAAGAAAGCGUAAUAGCUCACUGGUCGAGUCGGCCUGCGCGGAAGAUGUAACGGGGCUAAACCAUGCACCGAAGCUGCGGCAGCGAACGUAUCACCCAAGACAACUUUACGGAGUUGACGAUUGACGGAGCGAAGCGACGUCAAAGCGUUCAUUAAAGUCGAGUUGGCUUAGGGAUACGUUCGUUGGGUAGGGGAGCGUUCUGUAAGCCUGUGAAGGUGUGUCGUGAGGCAUGCUGGAGGUAUCAGAAGUGCGAAUGCUGACAUAAGUAACGAUAAAGCGGGUGAAAAGCCCGCUCGCCGGAAGACCAAGGGUUCCUGUCCAACGUUAAUCGGGGCAGGGUGAGUCGACCCCU